UUUAAAAUCCCUACCAUCAGACUUCAAUCUCGUAAUCUUAAUGUACUUUUUCUAUCUUCUAGUGGCAUUAUAAGGGAAAUGGAGUAAGAAUUAUUUCAUCUGAUCUUUGCCAUUUAACUUUUCCUUUAAGAUAGAAUCACAACAACAAAAAAAACCUUUAUUAUGUUCUCUCUCUAAAUUAUUGUUGUUUUCAACAGCUCCUCUACAAGUUGAAAGUGCUCAACCUCAAAGAGUUUGAAAACUUGAUCAAGACACCAGACUUUAUAACAGCCCUAAAUCUUGAAAUUUUGAUUUUAGAAGAUUGUAUUAGAUUAGUAGAUGUUCAUCCAUCCAUUGGAGUGCUCAAGAGGUUGCAGAAGUCCUAAGAACCUUCAUAAGUUUUCAGAGAUUGAUUGCAAAAUGGAGAACCUGUUGGAACUUUAUUUAGAUGAUACAGGCAGCAAAGAACUUCCUUUCUUCAAUUCAACGUCUCAGAAGGCUUAAAGUUUUGAACCCAAAAAACUGCAAAAGUCUUACAAGUCUUCCAAUCAACUUUCCAGAGAUUGAUGGGAAAAAUGGAAUGUUUGUUGGAGCGUUUCAUUUUAUGCAUCCAAAAUUUCAAAAAAAAAAAUGUAAUUUAAUCAAUAAUAGAUCAUUUAUGUCCGU
rnacentral:lncRNA from 1 species